rnacentral:ncRNA from 1 species
AUAAAUACUAAGUAAGAUUGACAUUCGGGGUGAAGAGAAGCAGUGGUUGGUGAAAACUGCGCAGGUGUCGUUAUCUGAAAUACAGCUAUUAAUAUUUAAGCGUGGCAACACCAUGUUAUCAAAUGUUAAAGUGAUGCGUUUUUGACGCGUAAGCUGGGUGGUACCACGGAUUUCUGUAAAUGUCGAUUCGUCCCUUCU